rnacentral:lncRNA from 1 species
AAGUGCCAGAGAGAGGCGAUUAGAUUGAGUUACGAGACUGGUCCAUCGUUAGGCGAUGGCUGCUACAUAAAUCUAGUUGCAGUCGGCCGAACCUGUUCCGGGACUGGGAGGGUGAUGUACUGCAGGCCAUUAGGCCCGGCUAUAAAUAAACAUAGGGGGAGAAAUUCUGUUAAAAUUUCAGGUCGCCGGCACAGCAAACAAGCGUAUAAAUCUCUGGCUUUUACUGCCGCGGCCCGUCACACGAUACGACGCUUUUGCUUGUCCGCUCUUUUAACACUACAGCCGUAUAAAGUCCAGACGUUUCCUGCACCUGACAUCUGUCUUCCCCCACGUCCACUCUCUCGGCCAACCAACCACAAUUAGUUUCUGUAUUAUAAACAGGUGAUAAAAUACAACCGACGUCAUUCGCUCCUUUUUAUAAGCCAUCGUCGCCAUCUUGGAUUAGGUUCUAAAACGGAAAAUAAUAAUAACGCGAUGAAUAAAUAAUGCGAAUAAUCAAAUAGUGUUAGCGCUCGUGUUUUCGUAUGCGUACAAGGUUGUUUCG